AGCAGCCGCGGUAAUUCCAGCUCCAAUAGCGUAUGCAAAAGUUGUUGCAGUUAAAAAGCUCGUAGUUGAACCCCGGGUUGUAGGUGAGGGUUCUGGUAGUUGUGGUUUAAAGUGUGCUAUCUGGAAACAGGUAGUACGCCCCGCAGCCUCCUCAUGCUUGACAGCCUUACUUUGUGUGGGGUGGCAGUGCCUUUAACCGGGUGCUGGC
rnacentral:rRNA from 1 species